GCAGAACCGCUGUGCACCGUGGCCCCUGCGGUGCUCGGCCCGCACGUGCCGGGGAGUCUGGGCCGGUGGCCGGAGCAAAGAGGCUUCUCGCUCUCGCUGCAUGGGCUUGGGCGCCCGGGGGCAGGGUCUCCUUGCUCGACCGACCUGCCUGGCCUGCCCCAGUGCCGCCCUGGCUCACGCAGCCGCCACUAGGGCCGCUCCAGGCCUAUGUUCUGGGCUGCCCGCGCCUGCAGCUCCUUGAGGCGGGUUCUGUGCCUCCCAUCAGCCCUCCUGACUUCGCGGUGGAAUGAAACCACGAGACGCGGCUCUGCACUCGCUUGGACAACUGUGUGAUCUCCGGAACAAGAUUUGGAAAUAGGCGGUAAAGAAAUGUGUGACCAGAGAAGACUGGCUAAGGCGGCAGAAAGGAAGGACUCUGAGCUCACUUCCUCCUAUGGACACACCAAGAUUACAACUAUUACAGGAAAGCUAUUGAUGAAAAAGACUAGGACCUCCCAGAUCUUCUACAACUGCAGAUAUAAAGAAAGCACCACUGCAGGACGGACAGGAGAAAUGGAGUCACAUGUACAGUCAGGUUCUCUAUCCCUGAGUGGGCAACCCAAGAACAGGAGAAAAUUAUUAAUGCAGACAUUUUUCUCAAAGGAGCAAGAGGUCUGAUCCCCAUAUUGGACUCCUCUGCCCAAUAAUUUUGUGCCAAGAAGACAAGUCCCAGAAUGUUUGGAUUUGAAGGCCAGCAGGGCUUACUUUCAGGAGACCAAAACAUAGAUAGAGACUCUGCUUUUAAAAGAAUCGCCAGUCUGUAUCCGACGCAGGAUACAGCAUGCUUGGGGCUGGUGCACGGUGAUGACCCAGAGAGAUGUUAUGGGUAGGG
ensembl:lncRNA